GCGCUGAGACACAGCCCCAACAUGUGUGAGUGACAUCCCACAUCCACACAUGGGGGCCGCGUUCAGCUCACAGAGGAGAAGGCUUCAGGGAGCUCACACCAGCACCUAGCAGGUCAUCAGCAAGGUCACCAUUGAGCAGCUUCCUGAGGAUGCUCAGUACUCACUCUGGUUCAGCAGGAGGCGAAGAUCACUUGAAGUCCCUGCAGUCUCUUCUGGAUGAGCAGAAGCCUUAGAGCAUGGCUAUCCAACCUUUUGGCUUGUCUGAGCUGUAUUGAGUGAAGAGGAAUGGUUCUGGGCCACAUAUACAUGGGUUGCUCCAAAAGUAAUGCCUCCUGUUUAUUUCCAUGGA
rnacentral:lncRNA from 1 species